rnacentral:tRNA from 4 species
UGGACGUUUAGCUCAGCUGGGAGAGCACCUGCCUUACAAGCAGGGGGUCACAGGUUCGAUCCCUGUAACGUCCAUCC